ensembl:lncRNA dentin sialophosphoprotein-like
GAGGAGGAGGAGGAGUAGGAGGAGGAGAAGGAGGGAGGAGGAGGAGAAGGAGAGGGAGGGAGCACGGGUGUGACUAUAAAAAGUUGUUGUUCUUCUUUAGCUGGGUUCAGAAACUCAACAAACAGGGGUUUCAUCACAUCAAAGUUCGUUUUCUGAGGACCUGCUGACAACAACAUCAUGCACCAACGGUGUGUUGUUUUGCUGAUCCUUGCUCUUGCUGCUGUUUGUCUGACGGCUCCAACACCAGGAGUAACUACAGAUGAACCUGUGACAGCCCAGACAGAUCUAAAUGACAGCAUCGACUCCCCUGAACAAACUGAAGCUCCCUCAGAAUCAGAUGAGAAAACUGAAUCACCAGCUGUUUCAGACAGCAGUGAUGGCAAAGACUCCACCGCAGAGGAAAGUGACAAAGCUGAAGGUGACAGUGACACCUCUGCUGAACAGAACCAAGAUGAAUCUGACAACACUGACUCUGCAGAACAGACACAAGGUGAUGCUGACAGCACAGACUCAGCUGAGCAGACCCCAGAUCCAAACAGUCUGGAGACAUCUACUCAAUUUAAUUCUGCUGCUUCUGACACAGACGAGUCUUCUGAUCACUCUGAAGAUUCUGAGAAUAGUGCUGCCACUGAUGACAACAGUAACACUGACUCAACUGAAAUGUUAAAUGCCGCUCGUGUUUCCGAUGCCGAUGCUGAGGCGGAUGCUGAGGCAGCACACGAAGACUCAAGCAACAGCAAGACUGGCGACGACAGCAGCAUUGCUGAUUCCACUGAGAGCUCAUACAGUUAUAGUGCUUCUCACUCCCAGGCUGAGUAUGGAGCAACCACAGCCGACCAGGACGACAGCACAGCUCAGGAGGAGGUACAAAAUGAGAAGGAAGAAAAAGGUGAGGGAGAUGCGCCAAGCGAAACAGACACAAGAGAUGAGGGAAAUGCCAGUGAGGAUGAGCAGGAUGUGCCCAGUGAAACGGACAACAGUGAUGGCAACGAUAACAGUGUGGACCAAAAGAACGAGAAUGGUGUAACCCCAAGUGAAGCAGACAGUGACACAAGGAGAUCUGACAGUGACAGCCAUGAUGUGGACAGGGACCCAGAGUUUGACAAUCAAGACAUCAGUGACAAGCUGGACCCUGAGACCACUGAGACGCAAACGGUGAACCAGGACGACUCUACAAAGUCAGACGUGGAGGACACUGAAGAGCAGAGUCUAGAAACUAAUGACUCAACUGAAGCCCCACCUGCUGACCAACGAGAUCAACCUGAUGACAUCACCCCCACAGCCACAGGAGCCUUGAUUUAGACACUGAAAUUUGGACUCUGGACACUCACCGACUUAAGAAGUCCAGUGGCGCCAUAGUGGAAAAAAGUCCAUCAUAACAAAAGCAGCAGCGGGGAGCUAACCUGCAACUAAAAUUCAACUUCAGCUUCUGUUGUUUUAACUCUUCCUGUUCCAAUGUCUCUUUCUUUUAAACUUGUUGCUUUAGUUUUCAUCAGUCAUGAAAAUCUUUCUUUCACACCAGAGUGCUUUGACUUUUAACCUGUCUUAUUUUAUCAACAGAAACAAUAAAGCAGAUGUGCACUGUGUGUCUCUGUUCCA